rnacentral:rRNA from 1 species
GGUUGAUCCUGCCAGUAGUCAUAUGCUUGUCUCAAAGAUUAAGCCAUGCAUGUCUAAGUAUAAGCAAUCUAUACUGUGAAACUGCGAACGGCUCAUUAAAUCAGUUAUAGUUUAUUUGAUGGUACCUUACUACAUGGAUAACUGUGGUAAUUCUAGAGCUAAUACAUGCCGAAAAGGCCCCUCACGGGGUUGUAUUUAUUAGAUUAAAGACCGUUGGCUUCGGCCAUUUGGUGAAUCAUAAUAACUGCUCGAAGCGUAUGGCCUUGCGCCGACGCUACUUCAUUCAAAUAC